UGGGGAAUAUUGGACAAUGGGCGAAAGCCUGAUCCAGCCAUGCCGCGUGAGUGAUGAAGGCCUUAGGGUUGUAAAGCUCUUUCGCCGGGGAAGAUAAUGACGGUACCCGGAAAAGAAGCCUCGACUAACUCCGUGCCAGCAGCCGCGGUAAGACGGAGGAGGCUAGCGUUAUUCGGAAUUACUGGGCGUAAAGCGUGCGCAGGUUGUGAGUUCAGUUGGAUGUGAAAGCCCGGGGCUUAACCUCGGAUGUGCAUCCAAUACUGGCUCGCUGGAGGUUGGAAGAGGAGAGUGGAAUUCCCAGUGUAGAGGUGAAAUUCGUAGAUAUUGGGACGAACACCAGUGGCGAAGGCGGCUCUCUGGUCCAUACCUGACACUCAUGCACGAAAGCGUGGGGAGCAAACAGGAUUAGAUACCCUGGUAGUCCACGCCGUAAACGAUGUAUGCUAGACGUCGGGAGGCUUGCCUUUCGGUGUCGAAGCUAACGCGAUAAGCACACCGCCUGGGGAGUACGGCCGCAAGGUUAAAACUCAAACGAAUUGACGG
rnacentral:rRNA from 1 species